AAGUCGUAACAAGGUUUCCGUAGGCGAACCUGCGGAAGGAUCAUUACUGAAAAAAACUCGAGGAUGUUGCUGGCGGCCACGCACGUGCACUCCUUGAACUAUUUCUGACCCUUUCCACACCAUGUGCACCUGUUGUAGGUCUGCCGACCUAUGUUUUUCUUUUCUAAAACUCCAUCGAAUGUAUACGGAAUGUAUGAUUGCGAGGGCUCUUUAGCCCAAGUCAAUAAAGCACAACUUUCAACAAUGGAUCUCUUGGCUCUCGCAUCGAUGAAGAACGCAGCGAAAUGCGAUACGUAAUGUGAAUUGCAGAAUUCCGUGAAUCAUUGAAUCUUUGAACGCACCUUGCGCCCCUUGGUAUUCCGAGGGGCAUGCCUGUUUGAGUGUCAUUGAACCCCUCUCAACUUGACCUUUUGGGGUUGAGCUUGGAUUUGGAGAGUGCCGGCGCGUUCGGCUCCUCUGAAAAGCAUUAGCGAGCAACUCAUGCGUCUGCUUUGGCAUUGAUAAAUCUGUCUAUGCCUCUGGGCGGCACGCGUUUGGCGGUUUGCUUACGAGUGGUCCCUUUUCGAGGGACAACGUCACCCAACAAUCACCUCAAAUCAGGUAGGACUACCCGCUGAACUUAAGCAUAUCAAUAAGCGGAGGAAAAGAAACUAACAAGGAUUCCCCUAGUAACUGCGAGUGAAGCGGGAAGAGCUCAAAUUUAAAAUCUGGCGUUCUUUCGGACGUCCGAGUUGUAAUCUAGAGAAGCGNUUUCCGCGCCGGACCGUGUACAAGUCUCUUGGAAUGGAGCGUCGUAGAGGGUGACAAUCCCGUCUUUGACACGGACCGCCGGUGCUUUUGUGAUGCGCUCUCGAAGAGUCGAGUUGUUUGGGAAUGCAGCUCAAAAUGGGUGGUAAAUUCCAUCUAAAGCUAAAUACAGGCGAGAGACCGAUAGCGAACAAGUACCGUGAGGGAAAGAUGAAAAGAACUUUGAAAAGAGAGUUAAACAGUACGUGAAAUUGUUGAAAGGGAAACGAUUCAAGUCGGCCGCGUCGUCCAGUAAUCAACCCUUUGCGUAAGAGGGCUCACUUUCUGGUUUGACGGGUCAGCAUCAAUUUUGACCGUCGGAUAAAGGCGCGAGGAACGUGGCAUCUUCGGAUGUGUUAUAGCCUCUUGUCGCAUGCGACGGUUGGGAUUGAGGGUAUCGACACGCCCGCAAGGGUCGGGGCUUCUUGCCCACGUAACGUGUCUCGGAUGCUGGCAUAAUGGCUUGAACCGACC
rnacentral:rRNA from 1 species